CAAGCGGACCUCAUAAAGUGCGUCGUAGUCCGGAUUGGAGUCUGCAACUCGACUCCAUGAAGUCGGAAUCGCUAGUAAUCGUGGAUCAGAAUGCCACGGUGAAUACGUUCCCGGGCCUUGUACACACCGCCCGUCACACCAUGGGAGUGGGUUGCAAAAGAAGUAGGUAGCUUAACCUUCGGGAGGGCGCUUACCACUUUGUGAUUCAUGACUGGGGUGAAGUCGUAACAAGGUAACCGUAGGGGAACCUGCGGUUGGAUCACCUCCUUA
rnacentral:rRNA from 2 species